rnacentral:rRNA from 1 species
UAGGGAAUCUUCGGCAAUGGACGAAAGUCUGACCGAGCAACGCCGCGUGAGUGAAGAAGGUUUUCGGAUCGUAAAACUCUGUUGUUAGAGAAGAACAAGGACGUUAGUAACUGAACGUCCCCUGACGGUAUCUAACCAGAAAGCCACGGCUAACUACGUGCCAGCAGCCGCGGUAAUACGUAGGCGGCAAGCGUUGUCCGGAUUUAUUGGGCGUAAAGCGAGCGCAGGCGGUUUCUUAAGUCUGAUGUGAAAGCCCCCGGCUCAACCGGGGAGGGUCAUUGGAAGCUUGGAUACUUGAGUGCAGAAGAGGAGAGUGGAAUUCCAUGUGUAGCGGUGAAAUGCGUAGAUAUAUGGGGGAACACCAGUGGCGAAGGCGGCUCUCUAGUCUGUAACUGACGCUGAGGCUCGAAAGCGUGGGGAGCAAACAGG